GGCCGAAAGGCGUAGUCGAUGGGAAACGGGUUAAUAUUCCCGUACUUCUUACAAUUGCGAUGGGGGGACGGAGAAGGCUAGGUGGGCCUGGCGACGGUUGUCCAGGUUCAAGUGCGUAGGCUUAAGAGUUAGGUAAAUCCGGCUCUUUUUAAGGCUGAGACACGACGUCGAGCAUCUACGGAUGUGAAGUCAUUGAUGCCAUGCUUCCAGGAAAAGCCUCUAAGCUUCAGAUUGUAAGGAAUCGUACCCCAAACCGACACAGGUGGUCGGGUAGAGAAUACCAAGGCGCUUGAGAGAACUCGGGU
rnacentral:rRNA from 1 species